rnacentral:rRNA from 1 species
CCUACGGGUGGCAGCAGUCGAGAAUCAUUCACAAUGGGGGAAACCCUGAUGGUGCGACGCCGCGUGGGGGAAUGAAGGUCUUCGGAUUGUAAACUCCUGUCAUGUGGGAGCAAAUUAAAAAGAUAGUACCAUAAGAGGAAGAGACGGCCAACUCUGUGCCCGCAGCCGCGGUAAUACGGAGGUCGCAAGCGUUGUUCGGAAUCACUGGGCGUAAAGCGGGCGUAGGCUGUUUCGUAAGUCGUGUGUGAAAGGCGCGGGCUCAACCCGCGGACGGCACAUGAUACUGCGAGUUUAGAGUAAUGGAGGGGGAACCGGAAUUCUCGGUGUAGCAGUGAAAUGCGUAGAUA